AUUGAACGCUGGCGGCAGGCCUAACACAUGCAAGUCGAGCGAGCGGCGGACGGGUGAGUAAUGUCUGGGAAACUGCCUGAUGGAGGGGGGUCACUACUGGAAACGGUAGCUAAUACCUCAUACCAUCGGAUUGGCCCAGAUGGGAUUAGCUUGUAGGUGGGGUAAAGGCUCACCUAGGCGGCGAUCCCUAGGUGGUCUGAGAGGAUGAACAGCCACCCUGGAAACGAGACACGGGCCAGACUCCUACGGGAGGUAGCAGUGGGGAAGAUUUCACAAUGGGCGCAAGCCUGAUGCAGCCAUGCCGCGUGUAUGAAGAAGGUCUUCGGGUCGUAAAGUACUUUCAGCGGGGAGGCGUUACUCGCAGAAGAAGCACCGGCUAACUCCGUGCCAGCAGCCGCGGUAAUUC
rnacentral:rRNA from 1 species